UGACUAGAAUAGAGUAAGGGUCCCGGCACUCCUUGAGGCAAAGAUUUUAGCAACUCAGCAUCCAGCCCCCUGCAGCCCGGUGGAGCUCUGAAGGACAGCGCUGCCAGGGUUACUGAGUUGAUCUGAGCCCAGGAAGGUUUCUGUUCCAGCAAGGCCACUCACACAGUGCUAUCCUGGAGGUCCAACAGCUGCACCUCUACAAACCAACUAGAACCAACUCAGCAGGGCAGUAAUUCUACCUUUGCCAACAGUUUUCAUUUACCUCCACCGGCCUCGCCGCCCCGCGCCGCCCCGCCCCCACCCGCCAUUUGCAUAGACAAGAUUAACACCAUUAAGCCAAGCUGAGUUUAUAUUCCACUUCAUACAACUGGGAUGUUUUCCAGCCCAAACGCACUCAUUAGGCACUCGCUUUCCUAAAAAGUGAAACACGCAGCCAAUGCAAAGAGAAGAAAAACGCGUUUUCUUCGAGUGCGGGUUUUUUUUUUUUUUUCUUUUUCCUGUGAUGAAUCUCAUAUUUGCCAAGAAGAAAAUAGCUAGGUGCAUGGAGUUGACCUCGGCCAGGCACGGCAGGGUGGAAUCGAUCAAAGGAGCACAUUAGAACCAGCGCUCAGCAGGUGCGGGACCAUUACACUGUCUAAACACCCGUUAAUUAUUCUGAGGACUGCAUGAGAGCAACCGGGUGAGCAGCUUCGGAGUGUUCAGUAAACACUAAUUCCAGAGAGGUGAGAUGGGAAUUCAAAGCACGGUGCUCCUAAGGAUCACUGGAUGUGAUGGCUGAUUGACUUUCUGGGGAAACCCGGGACCAGUAGGCAGCAGAAUCGUGGUGUUAGAAUAGAAGAAAAGGCCUAGGUCUGAGAGGUAGAGAUGGAAAGAGGCGAACUUCUCAGGGCCAAGAGGCACCUUUUAUUUUAUUUUUUUUAGCUGAAGCCUGGUUUUUUGAAGUCUUAAGAGGCGGCCAAGAAAAGCACCCACUACCGAUCCAGAUGUUCCCCGGGGACCACAGAACUCAACAGGACACUUGAAGCAAUCCCUGGGUUUGAUGUUAUGGUCAGAAAAGUAACGACGAGAAAAUUGAUGAAGCCACACACACAGCCCCCAUACAAAUCCCCCUCGUGUCCUCUCAGGAGAUGCCCAAACACCAGGGGCAGCAGUGCUCCUGGAUCUGACAGCAUCAGGAAAACAAGUGACAGAUAGCACUGGCUGUGUAUUGGGGACUUCAGCUCAGCAAAGGGAUAGCAGGCGUGCCUGAGGGCACAGGCAUGAGAGCCUGGUCCACCUAACUGGACCUUCCUUCAUGAAGCAGGAGCUGCCUCCUGCUUCCCAGCAAGAUGGCCUCCUUAAUGAUCAUCAGGGAAGAAAAGGGUUGGGGCUCAGCUCUGUGGUACUGCAAGGGCUUAGCAUGACCCAGCCCUGACUCCAUCCCCAGUACCCAGGUCUAGGUUUGGAGAAAGGCUCUGUGGAGCAGGUUCUUUCUCUAUGUUGCCUAGGUCUCUAGAGCCUUGCAGCUCCCUGUUCCCCUUUCCACCAGAACAUUCUAGAAACCACAGCGCAUAUGCCCCCCCAUUCCUCACCUGCUGACAUCCACCUGCUCCCUCCCCCCCACACACACUGAGGCUACAGCGGUGAAUCAGACUUCUCCUCCAUCCACAUCAGUUGGCCUCAAAACUGUGGCCUUCGAGGCCUCUAAUGAGUGUCACCCAAAUAGGUCAUUCUUGCUGUACCCCCCAGGGAUCUCCCUCUGUGGCUGACUGUGGCCCCACACGCUAAACCACAGCCCAGACACAAGGCACCCCCUUGCACAUCCCCUAACGGGCCUUCUUAAAGGGUCUUCUCUGGACACUCUCCCCUUCCUCUGCCUAAUUACAGCCGUCUUUUAUUCUCAACCAAA